CAAAAAAAGAGUUUUUGUGUAGUGCCAUUCCCUUUAAGGGGUAAAGAGAAGAGAGAGUAAGGUGAUAAGAAAUAGAGAACGAGACCGCUGAGCGCUGGGAGGGGACCUAGGGGAGAGUCCUUUAGUGAGAGGCGGUUCUAGUUUCGUCUACUCAAUACAUCUAGAUUCGAAGGAGUUGUUCUCCUCGUUGGUCGUCGUCGGACUGUGAGUUAAUUAAUUCACUCGCUUUACGUGGUUUCUCUAAUUUUCAUUCGUGUUUUUAGUAUAGGGGGUUUUCCGGUUUUGAUAUAAAUGAAGUUGACAAGAAAGAGGGGAUUCAUGUUGUGAACUUGAUAUUGUACAAAACUAAAAAAUGUUUACAUUAAGUAAGAAAGAUAGGUGGUCCAGUGACUUUAAUUGGUAUGGUCAGAUGAUUAGUUCAAAUAUAGUCUUGAUUUACUCCUCGUCAUCGACUAUCAAGCAUUUGAACUCAAGCCAAGAAACGAAGUAUAGAGUACGCUGACGUAUAACCUACUGUAUAAACUUACCAAUCUUCGUCAAGUUGUGUUGAUGUACGUCUUAACUUGAUUCCUUACCAAAGUUCAAGGUAAAGUGGGUUAGACGACAGGUGUUUUAGGAUCCGUAAGGUACACCCCCAAAAGGUUAUGUUUGUUUUGGAUGGUUUGUUUGAUAACUAAAGUACUUAUGUAAAGAACUUUGUUGUUUUGGUUGGGGUCUUGUAAACGAGAGUUACAACAGAAACGUUUCCAACUGGUGGGAGUGGUAGAUGCUAAGCAGCGUAAGGAGUCACCGAAACGAGUACUCUAACACAACAAACUACCGCUUAAGAGACCAUUACUCUUUGACGAGGUCAUACAGCAGCGCCACUUCCGGUUCCUUUUGACCUACACACGAAUCUCGACCUCCUUAGCGACAAAACCACCUGAAAACUCGUUCUUCGACAACCCCGACAAUCCAGAGGACUGCUAAGCCACAACUUCAUACCGCUCAAGCUACACUCCCACGAAAAACGAGGGUUCCUGAAGUGACACCAACCGACUUUGGACUUCCCUUCACUGCUUCUACGGGGGUAAGAUAUUAUAGGCACUAAAUAGACCAGCCUUAAACUUAAAAGAAACAUUCGGGAGUAAACCGUCUUGUCGUCUGUAAACUCCUGAAUGAGACACCAAAUUUAUACAAGUUGACGUUGUCUUCAAGCUCCGGACUGUACAUACCAGAGAUUUAUUACAAUUUUGACGAAUAUACACACGUUUUGACAAUCUCUCUACCACCAAACAUCAUACAAAACUCGAGAAUAUCAAAUGGAGAUUCACCAAAAAACUUAUCGCUUAAAAUCG
rnacentral:rRNA from 1 species